UGCGUAGGCGGCGCGGUAAGUCGGGUGUGAAAUCUCGGGGCUUAACUCCGAAACUGCAUUCGAUACUGCCGUGCUUGAGGACUGGAGAGGAGACUGGAAUUUACGGUGUAGCGGUGAAAUGCGUAGAUAUCGUAAGGAAGACCAGUGGCGAAGGCGGGUCUCUGGACAGUUCUUGACGCUGAGGCACGAAGGCCAGGGGAGCAAACG
rnacentral:rRNA from 1 species